GAUGAAGAACGCAGCGAAAUGCGAUACGUAAUGUGAAUUGCAGAAUUCAGUGAAUCAUCGAGUCUUUGAACGCACAUUGCGCCCUCUGGUAUUCCGGAGGGCGUGCCUGUCCGAGCGUCAUUGCUGCCCUCAAGCACGGCUUGUGUGUUGGGCUCCGUCCCCCGAUCCCGGGGGACGGGCCCGAAAGGCAGCGGCGGCACCGCGUCCGGUCCUCGAGCGUAUGGGGCUUUGUCACCCGCUCUGUAGGCCCGGCCGGCGCUUGCCGAUCAACCAAAUUUUUAUCCAGGUUGACCUCGGAUCAGGUAGGGAUACCCGCUGAACUUAAGCAUAUCAAUAAGCGGAGGA
rnacentral:misc_RNA from 1 species